rnacentral:rRNA from 1 species
GACGAACGCUGGCGGCGUGCUUAACACAUGCAAGUCGAACGGAAAGGCCUUUUCGGAGGUACUCGAGUGGCGAACGGGUGAGUAACACGUGGGUGAUCUGCCCUGCACUCUGGGAUAAGCCUGGGAAACUGGGUCUAAUACCGGAUAGGACCGCACUUUAGUGUGUGUGGUGGAAAGUUUUUUCGGUGUAGGAUGAGCCCGCGGCCUAUCAGCUUGUUGGUGGGGUAAUGGCCUACCAAGGCGGCGACGGGUAGCCGGACUGAGAGGUUGGUCGGCCACAUUGGGACUGAGAUACGGCCCAGACUCCUACGGGAGGCAGCAGUGGGGAAUAUUGCACAAUGGGCGCAAGCCUGAUGCAGCGACGCCGCGUGGGGGAUGACGGCCUUCGGGUUGUAAACUCCUUUCGCCAGGGACGAAGCGUUUUGUGACGGUACCUGGAGGAGAAGCACCGGCUAACUACGUG